rnacentral:rRNA from 1 species
AACGAACGCUGGAGGCGUGGCUAAGACAUGCAAGUCGAACGGUGCGUUGUAGCAAUAUGGCGCAUAGUGGCGGACGGGUGAGUAAUAAAUAGCUAACGUACCUCGGUCUCGGGGAUACCGCCGGGCCGCAAGGCCCUUUGCGAAAGUGGUGUUAAUACCCGAUGACGUUCAUGAAAGGCAUCUUUUGUGAAUCAAUGGUGGGGACCGCAAGGCCUACCGGACUGAGAGCGGGCUAUCCUAUCAGCUAGUUGGUGAGGUAACGGCCCACCAAGGCUUUGACGGGUAGCCGGACUGAGAGGUUGUACGGCCACAUCGGGACUGAGACACUGCCCGGACAUCUACGGAUGGCUGCAGUAACGAAUAUUCCGCAAUGGGCGCAAGCCUGACGGAGCGACGCCUCGUGGAGGACGAAUUCCUUCGGGAUGUAAACUCCUUUUAGGUUUAAGUAAAGCGAGUGCAGUUAAUAGCUGCGCAAGUUGAUCUAGACCAAGAAAA